rnacentral:rRNA from 1 species
GACGAGGGAUCCUAGCGUUGCUCGGAAUUAUUGGGCGUAAAGCGGGUGUAGGUGGCUUGGUAAGUCAGAUGUGAAAGCCCUGGGCUUAACCCAGGAAGUGCAUUUGAUACUGCUAAGCUUGAGUGCGAGAGAGGUUAAUAGAAUACCUGGUGUAGUGGUGAAAUACGUAGAUAUCAGGUGGAACACCGGAGGCGAAGGCGGUUAACUGGCUCGACACUGACACUGAGACCCCGAAAGUGCGGGGAUCAAACAGG